rnacentral:rRNA from 1 species
UACGGGAGGCAGCAGUGGGGAAUAUUGCACAAUGGGCGCAAGCCUGAUGCAGCCAUGCCGCGUGUAUGAAGAAGGCCUUCGGGUUGUAAAGUACUUUCAGUCGUGAGGAAGGUGUUAAGGUUAAUAACCUUAGCAAUUGACGUUAGCGACAGAAGAAGCACCGGCUAACUCCGUGCCAGCAGCCGCGGUAAUACGGAGGGUGCGAGCGUUAAUCGGAAUUACUGGGCGUAAAGGGCACGCAGGCGGUUAAUUAAGUUGGAUGUGAAAUCCCCGGGCUUAACCUGGGAAUGGCAUUCAAGCUGGUUAGCUAGAGUCUUGUAGAGGGGGUAGAAUUCCAUGUGUAGCGGUGAAAUGCGUAGAGAUGUGGAGGAAUACCGGUGGCGAAGGCGGCCCCUGGACAAAGACUGACGCUCAUGUGCGAAAGCGUGGGGAGCGAAACAGGGAUUAGAU